AAGAUUAAGCCAUGCAUGUCCAAGUAUAAGCAAGUACAAAGUGAAACUGCGAAUGGCUCAUUAUAUAAGUUAUCGUUUAUUUGAUAUUGCCUAUCCUACAUGGAUAACAGUGGUAAUUCUAGAGCUAAUACAUGCUGAAAAUCCCGACUUCGGAAGGGACGUAUUUAUUAGAAUCAGAACCAAUGCCCUUCGGGGUUCCUUGGUGAAUCAUGAUAACUCCACAGAUCGCAUGGCCUUGCGCCGGCGAUGGCUCAUUCAAAUUUCUUCCCUAUCAACUUUCGACGGUACGGUCUUGGCCUACCGUGGUUGUAACGGGUGACGGAGGGUUAGGGCUCGACCCCGGAGAAGGAGCCGGAGGAACGGCUACUACAUCCAAGGAAGGCAGCAGGCGCGCAAAUUAUCCAAUCCCGACACGGGGAGAUAGUGACAAUAAAUACCGAUACAGGGCUCUUUUGGGCCCUGUAAUUGGAAUGAGUACAAUUUAAACCUCUUAACGAGGAACAAUUGGAGGGCAAGUCUGGUGCCAGCAGCCGCGGUAAUUCCAGCUCCAAUAGCGUAUAUUAAAGUUGUUGUGGUUAAAAAGCUCGUAGUCGAACCUCGAGCCUGGCCGGCCGGUCCGCCUCACCGCGUGCACUGGUCUGGCCGGGUUCUUCCCUCUGCGGAACCGCAUGUCCUUCACUGGGCGUGUCGGGGAGGCAGGACUUUUACUUUGAAAAAAUUAGAGUGCUCAAGGCAGGCCAAUGCUCGAAUACAUUAGCAUGGAAUAAUAGAAUAGGACGUUGGUUCUAUUUUGUUGGUUUCUAGGACCGCCGUAAUGAUCAAUAGGGACGGUCGGGGGCAUCAGUAUUCAGCCGUCAGAGGUGAAAUUCUUGGACCGGCUGAAGACUAACUACUGCGAAAGCAUUUGCCAAGGACGUUUUCGCUGAUCAGGAACGAAAGUUAGGGGAUCGAAGACGAUCAGAUACCGUCGUAGUCUUAACCAUAAACUAUGCCGACUAGGGAUCGGGCGGCGUUCUUUCUAGACCCGCUCGGCACCUUUCGAGAAAUCAAAGUGCUUGGGCUCCAGGGGGAGUAUG
rnacentral:rRNA from 1 species